ACGGUUUAAUUUUAUGUUCUAACUACAAAAUGAUGAAUGUCGCCUAGGACUCUGGACAAACAAUGGAAGAAACAGAGCUCAGAGAGGAAAAGGCCCAGAGAUCUGCUCCUGGGAACGGCCCGGUGUCAGUGAGAAGUGAUCACUCCAAUGAUCGAUUCAUUGAUUUUAAAGAAAAAAAUGGUUCACAGAUCCUCCAGAAACAUCCUCCGUCUGAACCUGGUCCCAGCUGUGAGUCCCUCAGUGACCGGUCUAUGGACAAACCAAUGGACUUCAGGACAGAACAACCCAGUGUUGACGUCAGACCAGACGGUUCUGAACCAGGCCCCGACUGUGAGUCCCUCAGGAGCGACCGGUCCAAGAUGGAACCACUGACCUUUUCCUCAGAUCUGUAAGAUUCAGUUUGUUUAAACACAAGGACAGACAGUGGU
rnacentral:lncRNA from 1 species